rnacentral:rRNA from 1 species
UACGAAGGGUGCUAGCGUUGUUCGGAAUCACUGGGCGUAAAGCGCGCGUAGGCGGCUUGACAAGUCAGAGGUGAAAGCCUGGAGCUUAACUCCAGAAUUGCCUUUGAAACUGUUAAGCUAGAGUGUUGGAGGGGAUAGCGGAAUUCCUAAUGUAGAGGUGAAAUUCGUAGAUAUUAGGAGGAACACCGGUGGCGAAGGCGGCUAUCUGGACAACAACUGACGCUGAGGCGCGAAAGCGUGGGGAUCAAACAGG